CGGGGGAGGCCAGAUCCUGGGCUGUGUCCCAGCGCCCUGUGCUCCUGGUCUGCGCUGUUGGAUUCGCGCUCCCGCCCCACAGCCCCCU
rnacentral:pre_miRNA from 1 species